GACGUAGGAGGCGAGCGUUGUCCGGAUUCAUUGGGCGUAAAGAGCACGCAGGCGGUUUGGCAAGUCGGAUGUGAAAACCCGGAGCUCAACUCCGGACCUGCAUCCGAAACUGCCCGACUAGAGGUAGGUAGGGGAGAUCGGAAUUCCUGGUGUAGCGGUGAAAUGCGCAGAUAUCAGGAGGAACACCGAUGGCGAAGGCAGGUCGCUGGGACGGUACUGACGCUGAGACGCGAAAGCGUGGGGAGCAAACAGG
rnacentral:rRNA from 1 species